AUGUAAACGUGUAGAGUCCUCAGGAUGGAUCUAACCUGAGCUCUUUGUCCUGCAGCUGUGGCUCACUGCCCCCGGCGGGCAGUGAGUCAGUGGGCU
ensembl:misc_RNA